CCUACGGGAGGCAGCAGUGAGGAAUAUUGGUCAAUGGGCGCGAGCCUGAACCAGCCAAGUCGCGUGAAGGAUGACUGCCCUACGGGUUGUAAACCUCUUUUAUAAAGGAAUAAAGUGAGGCAAGUGUGCCUUUUUGUAUGUACUUUAUGAAUAAGGAUCGGCUAACUCCGUGCCAGCAGCCGCGGUAAUACGGAGGAUCCGAGCGUUCUCCGGAUUUAUUGGGUUUAAAGGGAGCGUAGAUGGGUUGUUAAGUCAGUUGUGAAAGGUUGGGGCUCAACCGUAAAAUUGCAAUUGAUACUGGCAGUCUUGAGUACAGUUGAGGUAGGCGGAAUGCGUGGUGUAGCGGUGAAAUGCUUAGAUAUCACGAAGAACCCCGAUUGCGAAGGCAGCUUACUAAACUUUGACUGACAUUGAUGCUCGAAAGUGUGGGUAUCAAACAGGAUUAGAUACCCCUGUAGUC
rnacentral:rRNA from 1 species